rnacentral:rRNA from 2 species
UCGAACGAACUCUGGUAUUGAUUGGUGCUUGCAUCAUGAUUUACAUUUCAGUGAGUGGCGAACUGGUGAGUAACACGUGGGAAACCUGCCCAGAAGCGGGGGAUAACACCUGGAAACAGAUGCUAAUACCGCAUAACAACUUGGACCGCAUGGUCCGAGUUUGAAAGAUGGCUUCGGCUAUCACUUUUGGAUGGUCCCGCGGCGUAUUAGCUAGAUGGUGAGGUAACGGCUCACCAUGGCAAUGAUACGUAGCCGACCUGAGAGGGUAAUCGGCCACAUUGGGACUGAGACACGGCCCAAACUCCUACGGGAGGCAGCAGUAGGGAAUCUUCCACAAUGGACGAAAGUCUGAUGGAGCAACGCCGCGUGAGUGAAGAAGGGUUUCGGCUCGUAAAACUCUGUUGUUAAAGAAGAACAUAUCUGAGAGUAACUGUUCAGGUAUUGACGGUAUUUAACCAGAAAGCCACGGCUAACUACGUGCCAGCAGCCGCGGUAAUACGUAGGUGGCAAGCGUUGUCCGGAUUUAUUGGGCGUAAAGCGAGCGCAGGCGGUUUUUUAAGUCUGAUGUGAAAGCCUUCGGCUCAACCGAAGAAGUGCAUCGGAAACUGGGAAACUUGAGUGCAGAAGAGGACAGUGGAACUCCAUGUGUAGCGGUGAAAUGCGUAGAUAUAUGGAAGAACACCAGUGGCGAAGGCGGCUGUCUGGUCUGUAACUGACGCUGAGGCUCGAAAGUAUGGGUAGCAAACAGGAUUAGAUACCCUGGUAGUCCAUACCGUAAACGAUGAAUGCUAAGUGUUGGAGGGUUUCCGCCCUUCAGUGCUGCAGCUAACGCAUUAAGCAUUCCGCCUGGGGAGUACGGCCGCAAGGCUGAAACUCAAAGGAAUUGACGGGGGCCCGCACAAGCGGUGGAGCAUGUGGUUUAAUUCGAAGCUACGCGAAGAACCUUACCAGGUCUUGACAUACUAUGCAAAUCUAAGAGAUUAGACGUUCCCUUCGGGGACAUGGAUACAGGUGGUGCAUGGUUGUCGUCAGCUCGUGUCGUGAGAUGUUGGGUUAAGUCCCGCAACGAGCGCAACCCUUAUUAUCAGUUGCCAGCAUUAAGUUGGGCACUCUGGUGAGACUGCCGGUGACAAACCGGAGGAAGGUGGGGAUGACGUCAAAUCAUCAUGCCCCUUAUGACCUGGGCUACACACGUGCUACAAUGGAUGGUACAACGAGUUGCGAACUCGCGAGAGUAAGCUAAUCUCUUAAAGCCAUUCUCAGUUCGGAUUGUAGGCUGCAACUCGCCUACAUGAAGUCGGAAUCGCUAGUAAUCGCGGAUCAGCAUGCCGCGGUGAAUACGUUCCCGGGCCUUGUACACACCGCCCGUCACACCAUGAGAGUUUGUAACACCCAAAGUCGGUGGG